rnacentral:rRNA from 1 species
GACGAACGCUGGCGGCGUGCCUAAUACAUGCAAGUAGAACGCUGAAGGAGGAGCUUGCUUCUCCGGAUGAGUUGCGAACGGGUGAGUAACGCGUAGGUAGCCUGCCUGGUAGCGGGGGAUAACUAUUGGAAACGAUAGCUAAUACCGCAUAAGAGUAGAUGUUGCAUGACAUUUGCUUAAAAGGUGCAAUUGCAUCACUACCAGAUGGACCUGCGUUGUAUUAGCUAGUUGGUGGGGUAACGGCUCACCAAGGCGACGAUACAUAGCCGACCUGAGAGGGUGAUCGGCCACACUGGGACUGAGACACGGCCCAGACUCCUACGGGAGGCAGCAGUAGGGAAUCUUCGGCAAUGGACGGAAGUCUGGCCGAGCAACGCCGCGUGAGUGAAGAAGGUUUUCGGAUCGUAAAGCUCUGUUGUAAGAGAAGAACGAGUGUGAGAGUGGAAAGUUCACACUG